GAUGAACGCUGGCGGCGUGCCUAAUACAUGCAAGUCGAGCGAACAGACGAGGAGCUUGCUCCUCUGACGUUAGCGGCGGACGGGUAAUUAACAGGUGGAUACCCGACCGUUAGGACGGGGAAAACUUCGGGAAACCGGAGCUAAUACGGGAUAAUAUAUUGAACCGCAUGGUUCAAUAGUGAAGGACGGUUUUGCUGUCACUUUUAGAUGGAUCCGCGCCGCAUUAGCUAGUUGGUAAGGUAACGGCUUACCAAGGCAACGAUGCGUAGCCGACCUGAGAGGGUGAUCGGCCACACUGGAACUGAGACACGGUCCAGACUCCUACGGGAGGCAGCAGUAGGGAAUCUUCCGCAAUGGGCGAAAGCCUGACGGAGCAACGCCGCGUGAGUGAUGAAGGUCUUCGGAUCGUAAAACUCUGUUAUUAGGGAAGAACAAAUGUGUAAGUAACUAUGCACGUCUUGACGGUACCUAAUCAGAAAGCCACGGCUAACUACGUG
rnacentral:rRNA from 1 species